GCCAAAUCCUCUCCCGGAAACCUAGCGCUCUCGGACCAAUCAUCCGCGUCCCCUCCUCGCUGCGCCGCCUCCUCCUCCCCUCCACUUCUCUCCUGCUCCUCUCGAAGCCCCAACGCGUGGUCGCCGUCGCCGCUCGUCUCUUUCUUCCCACGACGCCUCCCCAUCCUCCAUCAGCCGUCGCCACGGCUGUGGGCGCGCAGCGGCGAAGGGGGAGGCAGCGGCAGGCGUAGGCGGGCGGUGAAGGGAGGCGGACGCGGUCGGGCCACGGCGGCGGCGGGCGUGGCGGCUGCGGAAGGGCGCAGCAGAAGCGAGCAGCGCCGGGCGUGCGCGGGACAGGGCGCGGCCGGCGCGUGCGGUGCGCGAACGAGGCGCGCACGGUGCGGUCAGGUGGGGCGAGCAGCAGCGCGCGGGUGGCGCCCAGAAGCAGCAGCGGGGCUCACGCGGGUGGCGCGGGGCGCGGCCUGCAGAGCCGACGGGUGGUAGCGGGUGGGGGCACACGCCCCAACCACCCAACCCCAACUCCGGCAGCCUCCUCUCCCUCCAUCGCCGCUGCUCUGCUCGAUCUGGUUCCUCCCCUCGCGUCUUCCAGCCACCAAUCCCUCUGCUCUCGAGCCCCGUGUCCCCCCCUCCGCCUCCUCCCCUUCGUGUUCUCCUCCUCCCGCUAAGGCUCCAUGGCGGCGGGCCGGCUCAAGGCGGGGGAGCGGCGGAUGCGUCGGCGGCGGCGCGAGAGGAGCGGUGGUGGCGGCGUCGAGCUGCGAUGAGGUGCCGCUCGGGCACGAGACGACAGAGACGGUGGCGGCUGUUCCGGGGCCCGAUCUGGGGAGGGUACGAGGCAGGGAAGGACGUCGUCGGCAGCUUCGCUGGUCUUCCUUCCGCCCCUAUUGCUCCCUCUGAUUUGCCCUCUUCCUAUCCCUCUUGCUCGCCAGCGGCGACUCCUCCCCUGCCUCCGCACGCCGCCCUCGAGUUGGAGGAAACGAGGACAACAUGCGGUCGAGCUCAGGCCGAUGACAUGUGCACUCCGUCUCUUAUGUUUCCCUUGUGUCUCUUGGCCUGAGUUUUACGGCCAGUAUUGCCUUAGUGAGUUGUGUUGUUGAGUCCAAACUGAAAUUUCGUCCCAGAUGCUACUACUACUGAUUACUUGCAGUAAUCAGAAAUUUGUACUUAUGAUACACAAAUCAGUUACUUUACUACUUUGCCUAUUUCACUAACCAGUCUUCAUAUAAAUAUAUAAUAGAGGAUAAGGCCAUGGAAGCCCGAAUGGGUUCUGCUGGUGGUCACACCGGUAGGAACGGCAUUGCCUGUUAGUUGUUAUGAGAAGUAUGUUGGGAGAUUGCCACCUUCCUGAAAAUCACUGGACAAAGAAGCCAUGUGAUGGAAAACCAGAGUGCCAAAAGAAGGUGGAUUUGGCAGUUGCUGCUCCAUGAGACGAGUUUAUUUGCCUGCUCAAAAUUCAGACCUGGAAAAAAUGAAACCUGAUGGAACGCAAAAGCUACAUGGCAGAGCACAUUUUGGGCACUGGUUUGUUUGGCACCGUCUUUCAGGCUAAAUGCUUGUAAACUGGGGAGACGGUGGCCAUUAAGAAGGUACUGUCGGGAGCUGCAGCUUAUGCGUUCGAUUAACCAUUCCAAUGUUGUCUCCCUCAAGCACUGCUUCUUCUCAACCACAAGUGGAGUGAGUUGUUUCUGAACCUUGUCAUGGAGUAUGUCUACCGCGGGCUUAAGAACUACAGUAAUGCCAAACAUGGGAUGUCACUUAUCUACGUCAAGCUUUACACCUAUCAGGGGGCUCGUGUACAUUCAUUACUGUUCCUGGAGUCUGUCACAGGGAUGUGAAGCCACAAAAUGUUUUGGUGGGCAGGGCCUUUGGAUGGGAAUCAUCUUCGGUAUUUUGGUCCAGGUCUUGUUGUUCGUGGCCAUCACACUGCACACCAUCUGGCAAAAUAAGCAACCAUGUUGACAGCCUGGCAUCUCUUUGUUCCAUUCUAUUGACUUUCAUGUGGCAUUAUGUAUGAAGCCCUUUGAGCACAAACCUUUCUAUGGAAGGACCUUCGUGGGAUUUGGAGUGCUCAAUGGCAUCUAAAUUUGGCUUCUUAAUCAGAGUCUAUGUUUCAACUCUGUUGGUUUCUAUCAGGGCAAGUCGAGUGCAUUGGUUGGAUCUAGAUUCCUGAUAUUGCAUAGGACUCGUCAAAAGGUUAGCACUUAUUCUAUAAUGUGGGGUCACAUAAAAAUCAAAAUUUCAAUUUCUGGAAUAAGAUUGAACCAUGUAUAUAUUCUCGGAUAACAAUUUACCUGUAAUAUCUAUGUACCUUAUUAUUCUGUCGCUGCUCUUCCGAUUUGCUCGGGUACCUUAUUAUUUCUCCCUAUUAUAGUGUUUUCUCAAAGUUGUAAUCCCAUAUCGUAAUUAAUUCCUUAUAGUAUACUUGCUUUUGCUCCUAUCAUCAUAACGAACCUAUUUAACUCAUGACAUGUGUAAUGGUCAUUGUACCCAUUUAAUCUCUUCUGGAGCUCUUCAUGAAUCUAUGCUCUAUUUGCUAAAGAGGGUUCAGUGCAGUGUCUACAAAGGUCGGGAAAAAAUGUUAUGAUGCAGAGGGGACAUCAUCUUGAAGGGAGCAAUGUUUUGAUACUUGCAUUAUAGGAAUUCUCUUUCUUUGCCUAGAACUUGUGAUUUAUGGCUGAUGUAUAUUCCAUCUUUGCAGGUGCUUCUCAAUUAUAGAUGGAAAACUUGCCAUGGAGGCACAUAGCUUGCUGAUUUUGUUUCUGGGUUGGCCCUUGAGAGGGAGACCGACGCAAACUUCAGCAGGUUUUUAUGUGUGCGACCUCUAUUCCUUGUGUUUGUUUCCCUCGCCGAGCUUGGGCAUUGUACAUUUUGGUAAAUAUAGUUAGUUACUUUGUUUACUGGCAAUUGUGAAUAUUCAGAGCACAUACAUGCUUGGUUUACUUCAGUUAGUACCUGCCAUUCAGUAAUCAGGCCUGAAGAAAGUGUGCCUCCCUAUUUUGUGCACAUAAAUACUUAGCUUACUGUGACCAAAUUAAGUAAACUUAUACAAUAAGCUUCUUCAUUGUUUCACUUGUGGAAACUAAACUACUACUGUGUUAAACUCAUUAUAGUCAUCUUUAAAGGAGUUGUGGUUGGUUGCCAUUGUGGUGAAGUAAUUUCUUGCUGAAGCACCGGUCUAAAUUUAUCAUUGGUUUCGCUGGUGCUGCAUGUAAGCGGGAUUACUAAUUGUUCCAUUGGUUUUGCUCUGGUGAGUUCUUCCCCAUAUACCUUUGAUGCUUUUGCCUCCAUACCUUCGAGCUGGUAUUUUUUUCAAGGUUUAUCAUGUUUUUGUGGUAGUGUGACUGGCUCAGAGUUUAUAAUCAUUUGUCUUCUUCAAUGAAUGUCUGUGCUAUGAUAUUCUGUAAGGCUAGGCACACACUAAGUUGGUUAAUGCUUUUGAUCUAGCUUGUUGGGAGAUAAUGAAACAAUAAUGUUUAUCUGCUCACAAUGCCUUAUAUUGAUUGUUCUGGAUAGGUAUUUUAAUCGUAAGAGAUGUCUCCAAAAAAGCAAAAACAACAAUUCACUGUUGAUUUACUUUGCUAUGAUUGCUCCCAUUGGAUUGUCCUUAAAUCAUGUGCAAAGCUGAAGUAUUGUUCGCUGACUGUCAGCCUGACAGAUCAGAUGGGAUGAUGAUGCAGAGUGUUAAAAAGCCUAAUGGGUUAUCUCCUUGGUAGAUGAAGCUUGUUGGAUUGAUUUUAGGCCAUUGAAAACAGAUGACACCAUGCCUCCCCCAGUUAAUGAACAUGUGUUGCUUCCAAGUAAUAAUGAAUUUUCUACUCUCUCUGCUCUGCUGAACUUUCUUUUCUUUUGCCAUUUUGGCUGGUAGUCUUUCAUAGAAUUUUGUGAUAUCUACCCGACUCCACAAGGUCAUGAAACAUUAAGAAUUGCUGGGUUUGAAAAACACAGGAUGGAAUUGUUAAUUCAUUAUCUCUGUCUGAAGCAAGACAUUUUUGGUACACUGUUGAAUAGAGUUGAUGUAUCAGCAUGAGUAACAUUGCGACAUUCUAAGGGUUGGUGCUAAAAACCCACCUAGAAACCAUUGUUUUCCCGGCAACUAUGUGGUUCAUAUGUUGAUAUGAUUGUUUACUGGUAGGACAACCAGGAGGUAGUGCAAUAUCCUUAUUAGUUAUACUCAGGGAUGCAAAAUCUUCACCUGAUGAUUCCACCCCUUUUUACACGACACUAGCUGCCGCAUAGUAAAAAGUGUCUCGCCGAUGCUCUUUAUGACACCAGCUGACAGAUUAAUGAGUGCACUCAUAGAGAACAUAACAAGGUAUUUUAGGAAGUGCUUGGACUAGGUUCAAAAUUUUGACAGUUUUAGGCACGCUUUUUUUACAGUGUUGGUUUCAAGUUUUUUUUUCCGACACAGUUAGACUUUCUGAAAUACAGCCUUGAACUACACAUGAAACAAUAGUGUUUAUUUGGUCACCAGCAAGAUGAUGAUGUGAAACGAAUGACUUUGCAUCUUUCAGAGUUUCUACCAUUAAAUAGUUUCCCAUAACAGAAUAUUUGCUAAUAUUGGUAGCUAAAAAUGAGAUACUUAUGCUUGUUGAUGCCUUCCCUUUUUGUAGUAACAUCCAUGUGUCCAGCAUAUGUAGAAUAUUAGAUUUUUUUGGUUGUUUAUUGUAGUUCGUUCUCAAGGUUUGGAAAAUUCUUUAGCUAUAUUCCUUGUCUCAAGCGAGCAUGAGCAAUAUCUUCUUUAUGCAGCAUGCCGCCAAGUUUCUCUAUUUUAGAUGGUUGUGUAUUUUCGCUUCUAAAAAGGGAUAUGUAUUUUAUUAAUCUGACUAUAAUUUGUGGUAGGUACAUACUGAAGGAUGUUCUGAGGCUAGCACCUGGUUUAGAAGUUUUGCAAUUCACAACAAUACCUCAUAAUUUUGAUUUGAUGUCCAGAAUGUCAAUUGAAGAAUGAGCAUAUGAACUGCAUUGUAUUUUGUAAUAUAUCCUUAUAUAUGGUGCUUGUGGCGUUUUUUUUUUGCAAGGGUAUUAUAGUCCUUUCUUUUUCCACAAGGGGCAGUAGCCAUGCCAUUCGAUUCGAAGGACAAAGAGUUGAUCACAAAGGGGUAGCACUUAGGAUAGAACCAAAUUAUAUGAUGUAAUUGACCACUAUUUCUAUUAACUUCUCUUGUACAAAUGUUCAUGAGGUCAUGUAUUAAGUACAUUUUAUUGUGUCA